GGUAGAGCAUGCUGAGAGAGGGAGGAGGGAGCAGGGGGCUGAGCUGAUCCCACGUGUGACGCUUUCAUUCCCGGCUCAGUAAUAUUCUCAUAGCGGGGCUUUGCAUAUCUCCUGCCGUAUCUGUGUGUGUCUGUCACUGUUACUGUAGUCCCAGCCUAUAGUUUGAAAUAGAUAUGGAAGGAGACGGGAGUCAAGCCACAUCCGGAAGCCUAAAUGAUUCACAACAUGACCCGGGUAAAAUGUUUAUCGGUGGCCUCAGCUGGCAAACCUCACCAGACAGCCUUAGAGACUAUUUUAGUAAAUUCGGAGAAAUAAGAGAAUGUAUGGUGAUGAGAGACCCCACGACAAAACGCUCAAGAGGAUUUGGGUUUGUUACGUUUACAGAUGCUGCCAGUGUAGAUAAAGUCUUAGCUCAACAACACCACGAAUUAGACUCAAAGACGAUUGAUCCUAAGGUUGCCUUUCCACGUCGCGCCCAGCCUAAGAUGGUCACAAGAACAAAGAAAAUAUUUGUGGGUGGCUUGUCAGCCAAUACAGUAGUGGAAGAUGUGAAGCAGUAUUUUGAACAGUUUGGGAAGGUUGAUGAUGCCAUGCUAAUGUUUGAUAAGACUACUAACAGACAUAGAGGAUUUGGCUUCAUAACUUUUGAAAGUGAAGACAUCGUAGAGAAAGUCUGUGAAAUUCAUUUUCAUGAAAUCAAUAACAAAAUGGUAGAAUGUAAGAAGGCCCAGCCCAAGGAGGUGAUGUUCCCACCAGGUACACGAGGGCGAGCCAGGGGUCUGCCCUACACCAUGGAUGCCUUCAUGCUGGGGAUGGGCAUGCUGAGCUACCCUAAUAUUGUGGCAACGUAUGGCCGCGGAUACACUGGAUUUGCACCCAGCUACAGCUACCAGUUCCCUGGCUUCCCAGCGACGGCAUACGGACCGGUGGCGGCAGCGGCGGUAGCAGCAGCGCGUGGCUCAGGUAGGGGGGCCCGUGGAAGAGGCGGCUACUUGGCGUACCCACAGAGCACAGGGCCAGGCCUCCCCGAUUAUGGGUUUUACUCUACGCCCAGUGACCAGAGGGGGGGGCCCUGCUCCUUUGCUGACUAUGGCUCCCUGGGGCCCCAAGCGGCUCAGAUGCUGCACAGUGAGCAUGCCACCUCCGCCUGCAACUCCCCCCUCCAGCACCUACACAGCCCGGAUCAAUUUAAGAACCCAGGCGCCAACCCAUCAAGGCCCGGAGGUUUCCCUGGUGCUAACAGUCCAGGUCCUGUUGCUGACCUGUACGGACCUAGCAGCCAGGAUUCAGCUGUGGGCAACUACAUCAGUGCUGCUAGCCCUCAGCCUGGCUCUGGGUUUGGCCCCAGCAUCACAGGCCCGUUGAUUGCGACAGCUUUUACAAAUGGAUACCAUUGAACAGGUGGCCGGUUGCCAUCUCAUCAGAGAUGACAGAGCUGGUAGUAAAGGAGUAUAACUGGUGGCCCAGGAAAGACAGGACGAAGUUUCUAAUUGGCUUUGUGUGCAGGUGAUGCUAUCCAACUUCAAGCACUACAGUGUCACCCAGGCAAAAAGAAUGAAAGUCGGAACCAUAUGAAGAAGAAAAGAAAAACGUUAGUCAUCUCAGAAAAAUAACAACUGCUGUACUAUAAUCCAAACCUCCUAUAACUUUACAACCUGGUUUGGUAUGAUGUUUCAUUCACCAAUUUCCUUCCUCUGUUAGCUUUUGUUUUGAUUCGUUUUUAGAGAGUCAUUUUAGUUUUAAUCUUAAUUUUGUGUCAUUUGAUUUGAUCUUAUAGUAUAUAUUUGUGUAAAUGGAUUUUGUUUGAAGUGCGGGGGUCAUAGCCAAGAAUAUCUGCAAGUUAUGUCUUCAUCUUUGUGGUGUAAAGGAGAAAUGAUUGGAUGUUCCAAUCAGUCUUUCCACAAAAAUAAAAGAAGCUCAGUGUGGAGAGACUCGGAGGAAAAAAAAAAAUUAAAUUUUAAGGAAAAUUUAAAGAGGGUAUCUAAGUAAUAAAUCUUAGUAGCUGUUUUCUUUCUUGUGAUGUCUCAUUGUUAGCCAUAAUUACCUAUUUUUGGGCAAUACAAAGAGGACUCCAAUAUUUUUAUGGUCCUUUUUUAUAAGUGUUGUUUUUGUUGUUUAGAAAUAAAUAUAUAUGGUAUAACAAAUUUCAUAUAACUACAUUGUGAAUUCAAACUUGAGAAAAAGAAAUGUAGCUGUACAUAUUAUUCCAGUCACUGCAUAUAACCAACUCAGUGAGAGAAUAGCAUAUUUUUGUGAUGGUGUGUCAAAAGAACAUGUUAUAGCGUGUGAAUAGAAGAAAAAGCUGUAAACAGUUAUUAUUAUACUUUUUCUGCUGGAAGACAGUAUAAAUGACCCCAGAGACAAACAGAACACACUUGCUCUGUAAAUACUGAAGCUGAAUAAUUUUACAAGUGUCAUACCAGCAAAUUUACAAACGGUGAGUUAGUUCAACACAGUUUUAAGAAAUAAAAAAAAAGAGCCUGAUUGGUAUCUUUUGUCUAACUGUUAAGAUAUCAGUAUCAUUUCAAAGAGAGAGAGAGA